rnacentral:lncRNA from 1 species
CUCCCAGAGCAAUCUACCUGUUUCCUGUAACAGUCAAGAAGUCAUAGUUUGAACGUUAAUUUGAUGUCUUUUCUACAGUUUUGUUGCUGACACAUAUUCUCAAUAAGAAAAUUACACUUUUUAAUCAGAAAGAGCCUCUUACCAUCUUUAAUAUACAAGCCUAAUCUUUCCUCUGUCUUCUGUGCUACUGUUUUUUCAACUAGUUUCUGCAACUCCUUCAAAGUAUUCUUGAAAUCUGGCACGUUAAGAGCAGAGCAACUCUCGUUAUCACAAUCCUUUUCAGACAUCCUUUAUUAAGAGAAGGCAACAAGGUAGAAAGAAGGACUCUUCUUACAGUGUGGUUCACAUGAGUUCAUAUGAGAUGUCACUGCAUGACUGGAAUAUAUAACAAGAAAGAGGUGACUCUGGUUUAGCAUCUCAAGAUGGCAAACAUGCUAGUGAGCUGUUGGUGUCACAACCUCCCAUUACAUCAAAGAAUUCUACUCACUGAGCAACCCUGUGUCACAUACCAGUAAUAACCUGGCAAGUGAGAUUAGUUCCUGGAGUCUGGUGCAAUUGGUGACUGAACAUGCGUGAUCUUUCUCACCUCAAGAGCCAGGUAAAGAUCUCAUAAGGGUUCAGUUCUGCUACAGCUGGCAAUGACUUAGCUAUAGAAGAUACCGUUCUCAGGAUUGACAGUGAUCAGCCAUGUUUCAAGAACAACAAAACCACUUCUUCAAAAACAGAGAAAGACCAUAAUCAUCACACUCACUUGGAAAAAAUCAUGCGAACAGCAGUGAUCUUUUCCACUGGGAAGAAUUGCUACGUAUUCCUGCUCAAUCACAGUGAGUACAUCUUUUGUUUAUAAUAAGGAAGAGAAUUGUGCAGAGGAAAGCAGCACUGACUCCUGGUAAAGGGAGGGAUAGCUUGAAGAUGCAUUUUUGCUAGUUCCUACAGUAAUUCUCCAGCCAUUAUAAAGGAAAAUGUUUCACUAGUGUGUCAAGACACUUGGUGGUUGGUUGGAUACUGUAUCUUGGCUAGAGUUAUGGUGUAUUCCUUAUGGAG